GGUAACUUAAUCUUAUAAUCACUAAUAAUGGAUCAACAACUCAUAAAUUAAUGUAAACAAAAUAAAAAAGUUAAUCUAAUUUUCCUGUCACCCCAACAAAAUAAAAUAUAAAUAAUAAAUAAUAAAACAACCACAAAUCAUUUAUUAAUAAUUUCAUAAAGCUCUAUAGGGUCUUCUCGUCCUCCAAAAAAAUUUAAGCUUUUUAACUUAAAAAUUAAAUUCAACUAACAAUUUAAACAAGACAGCUUAUACCUCGUCCAACCCUUCAUUCCAGCCUUCAAUUAAAAGACUAAUGAUUAUGCUACCUUUGCACGGUCAAAAUACCGCGGCCCUUCAAACAUCAGUGGGCAGGCCAGACUUCAAAUAAAAACAAGAAGAC
rnacentral:rRNA from 1 species